rnacentral:tRNA from 1 species
GUUUUAAUAGUUUAAAAAAAACACCGGUCUUGUAAACCGGAAAUAAGGUCAGCCCCACUUUUGAAACU